rnacentral:rRNA from 1 species
UACGUAGGGCGCGAGCGUUGUCCGGAUUUAUUGGGCGUAAAGAGCUCGUAGGCGGCUUGUUGCGUCGACUGUGAAAACCCGCGGCUCAACUGCGGGCCUGCAGCCGAUACGGGCAGGCUAGAGUGCGGUAGGGGAGACUGGAAUUCCUGGUGUAGCGGUGAAAUGCGCAGAUAUCAGGAGGAACACCGGUGGCGAAGGCAAGCCUCUGGGCCUCAACUGACGCUGAUGAACGAAAGCGUGGGGAGCAAACAGG